UUGUUUUCCAUGGCACAAAGUAGUUACUUCAUAAUUGUCUAUGGACUGGAAGAAUUACUGAGACCCCUCAGAGAAAAUACACAUUUGCUUAUGAUAGUGCAAUAAAACUCUUAGAGAUUGAUUCUAGUUGUUAGAAGACAGAACCUAACCUUCUUCUUGUUCCUGUUCUUUGGCUCUGGGCUAAGCUCAUUGACCUUUCCCCUUUAAUCAAAUCUGUUUGGAUUUUGUCAGUGACCUACAUCAACCUGUCUAUUCUUGCAGUGAUCAGCUCCUUAAGUUCAUCCCUGGAGCCUUGUCAAGCCCAGCAGGAGUUUCAGAUGGCUCUCAGGAAUAAAGAAAGCUGUAAAGAAAAAUUUAGUUAUAUUUUUCUUCUGAAUGUACUGUGCUAAGUGGUAGGGACACAGAUAAGAAAAUGAUAUUCUCUGCUCUCAGGCUGAUUGUUUGAGUUGGAGUGAGGUGGAGCAAAAGCAUGUAUUCAGGUGGAAAUGUUUUCAUUUCCUGGCCACACCAAAUGAACAAAUUCCAACUCUUUAAAAGAAGAAAAUAAAAGUUAUCUUGCCAGGUGAUCUCACUCUGGGAAAAGUGAGACCUGGGUCACAUGGGGCUGCAAGAUGCAUCUUCUGGCCAAUGCUGUAUGUUUCUAAAUUGGACUAAAAUGAUUCCAGGUAAGCCCAUGUGGUUUCCUACCUAAAAUUCUUAAUUGCAGUAAAUUCCAGGUCUAUUUGUUCUUUGACUUCUCCAGGGAGUUUUUUUUUUUCCUUUAGUGGAAUCUGCUUACUUUCUCCCUUUGACCUACCCACAUUCUAGGCUAGGACUUAGGACCCAAACUAACUAUUAAGUAGGACAGAGGGAGUGUCAGAAGGGGAAUAGAAGCCUGGUAUUCAUUUAAACUGUUGCCUUACUUAUUAUACAGCUGGUUGGUCAGGGAAAUAGAUUUUAAACAAGAGUCUCUCUAGCUCCAUUUUAUAGUAGCAACUUCCACUGAAAUUUGGUAUUGGGACACUUAAUAUUUCUUAGAUAGUAGCCAGCUGCCUCAAAUAUUAAUUUACAGCUACCGUGACUUCAUACAGAUGAAAACUGAUUUCAAAGGCUCCCCCUUCUAUUUCCAGAAACUAUCAAUGAACUCCAAGAGUCACCUGCUUCUUUAUAGUGGCUGAAGCCUCUCACUUUUAAGCCUCAUCAAUCCACAGCCACUUAUGAUUGGGACUUGAACUGUUUUUAAUUUGUUCAGGAAUUCAGCAAGUUUUUUGAAUGUCUACCAUAUACAUAGAAGGUUGGGUAAGCCAAAGUUAGUCAGUCAAUAAACAUUUAUUAGGCACUGAUUAUGUGACAAAAACCUUUGACUUGGAGCCAAAGAACAA